UUACGGAAGAAGCAGAAGUGUGGCGUGACCAUGGGGAAGCAAAAGAAAACAAGGAAGUAUGCGACCAUGAAGCGAAUGCUUAGUCUCAGAGAUCAGAGGCUAAAAGAAAAGGAUAGAUUAAAACCUAAAAAGAAAGAAAAGAAGGAUCCCAGCAUGUUAAAGGAAAGAGAAGUUCCCCAACAUCCUUCCUGCUUAUUUUUCCAAUAUAAUACACAGUUGGGCCCACCUUACCACAUCCUUGUUGAUACCAACUUUAUCAACUUUUCCAUAAAAGCCAAACUGGACUUGGUGCAGUCAAUGAUGGACUGUCUGUAUGACAAGUGUACCCCUUGUGUAACUGAUUGUGUAAUGGCUGAAAUUGAGAAAUUGGGGCAGAAGUAUCGAGUGGCUCUGAGGAUUGCCAAGGAUCCAAGAUUUGAACGAUUACCAUGUACACACAAAGGAACCUAUGCAGAUGACUGCUUAGUACAGAGAGUAACUCAGCAUAAGUGUUACAUUGUGGCCACAGUUGACCGGGACCUUAAAAGAAGAAUUCGUAAGAUUCCUGGAGUUCCUAUCAUGUACAUUUCUAACCAUAGGUACAACAUUGAACGGAUGCCUGAUGAUUAUGGAGCCCCUCGAUUCUAAUUCUUAGAAGACACAGUUCCUUUCUGCUUUUCUUCGACGAACUUUCUCUUGUUGCCAGUCCAUUAUACAUGCAAUAGCGUGAAUUAUUAUUCUGUUGACCUAUUUGCUCUAUUGUGAGCUGAGAAUGGUUAAAUAUGCUCACUCUUUUUUUUUUAUUUUUUUUUUAUUUAUUUUUAUUUUUUUUUUUUU